rnacentral:piRNA from 1 species
UAUAAAUGUUUUCCAGAGGUGAGCCUAAA